UCUUUUUUUCAAAUAUUUUAUCCCAAAAAAAACCAAAUCAAAUAAAUUGAAAAUUAUAAGAAGAAAAUCAAAUCAAAUUUUUGAGAAAACCAAACCAAAAUUUUGAUAUAAAUCAAUUUAGUCGGUUUUUCAGUUUGAAUCUAAUAUUGCUCACCCCUACGCAGAAAGUUGUACUUCUUCCCUACAUGUGUCUUCCUAGAAUAUUCCGAUACUGGAUUUGGUUUGAACUUUCAACAGCCAAUUCAGAUCUCUCAAACUCCUAGAAUAUCUAUGGUACUGAGUUGAAUUUGGUGCAUUUUUCUUCAGUUGAAACGCUGCACGAUGUGUCAACCAGUCUACAGCUAGCAUUUUUUACUUGUAUUAUGAAAAUUGCAAAUUCUGAUAAUUUUAUAUUUCAAUAGAUGGG
rnacentral:misc_RNA from 1 species